GUCUUCUUCCAGAAACCAUGACACUAUGGCAGGCCAACUUACUAGCUUUCAAGUAAGGUAACAUCUCAGACCAUCAUAGGUUUUGACAGGGGAAACUCUGAAGGACCACAGGAGUUGGAGGUUCCACGUAUCUCUAAGUAGUAACAUACGAUGGGUCCAAAACAGAAGAAAGAGAACUCAAGAUUCCCGAGCCACAGAGCUGUUGAUUGGAGGCUGACUCAGAGAAACCCUGGAUUCAGUGACAUACAGAGACAACAGGUACAGGAUCAGUAUGGGUUUUAAUUGAGGGGCUCGGCACCAAAUGACAGACUUGACACAUCCACCCCCACCAUGGAUGCUGUCCGUCCACUGUUGCACAAUGUCCUUCAGUGUCUAAUUUACAGAUCCAGCUGUAUUUCCCCUUCCACCUGCAUCCCUGAAGUUCCUCCCACCUGAAAACUUCACCUGACCCAAGAAAGCAAAGGAAAAAACCCGGAGAGCCAGCUCAUAGUCUGGUUCACUGUUUAACAGCCAGAAGCCAGAGCCUGCGUACUAGAAGUGGAUGCCCAGGAAGUACUUGUGAGCUGACUAAGAAUGUAAGAACGCCACCCACUUCAUUCAGGAAAGUGAGGCAGGAUUCCAUGGAGUAUGAAUGACUGCACAUGGAACAAGCAGGUUAUCAUUUAUAUUCAGCAAGGGACCUCCAUGAACAGGACAUUUGGGGAGCUGCUAUCAAACAUCAGAACUUCUGACACUGUGCACACAGUCUUAUAUUGUGCCUUGUCUGUUGUGAUGUCUCACUACAGUAAUGAUUAAGAUGAUGAGCACUUAUGCGUUGAUAUUGCAAUAUGUCUGCGUAAGAACUAUCGCUAAGGCAGGUUAUAUUAUUACCCUCAGUGUAUAGGUAAGGAGGUUAGACUGAUAACUUACCCAGUGUCACAUAGGUAGUAA
rnacentral:lncRNA from 1 species